AUUGAACGCUGGCGGCAGGCCUAACACAUGCAAGUCGAGCGGAUGAGUGGAGCUUGCUCCAUGAUUCAGCGGCGGACGGGUGAGUAAUGCCUAGGAAUCUGCCUGGUAGUGGGGGACAACGUUUCGAAAGGAACGCUAAUACCGCAUACGUCCUAAGGGAGAAAGUGGGGGAACUUCGGACCUCACGCCAUCAGAUGAGCCUAGGUCGGAUUAGUUAGUUGGUGAGGUAAAGGCUCACCAAGGCGACAAUCCGUAACUGGUCUGAGAGGAUGAUCAGUCACACUGGAACUGAGACACGGUCCAGACUCCUACGGGAGGCAGCAGUGGGGAAUAUUGGACAAUGGGCGAAAGCCUGAUCCGGCCAUGCCGCGUGUGUGAAGAAGGUCUUCGGAUUGUAAAGCACUUUAAGUUGGGAGGAAGGGCAGUAAGUUAAUACCUUGCUGUUUUGACGUUACCAACAGAAUAAGCACCGGCUAACUUCGUGCCAGCAGCCGCGGUAAAAC
rnacentral:rRNA from 1 species